rnacentral:lncRNA from 1 species
UCCACCACCUUCCCCGACUUAUUCACCACAACCAGAAUGGCUGCCACCUUUUCUAAAACCGCCCUUUCUAAAACCACCCUUUCGAAAACCGCCAUUUCUGCCACCUUUGUUUCCAACACCCGUGCAAAGUCCACCAACAUUACCCACUUUUUCACCCCCGAAGGCUCCACCUGUUGAAACACCUCCACCACCCAUCUAUACGCCGUCUCCACCUGUUGAAACACCUCCAUCACCCACCUAUACACCGCAUCCACCAAUGAAUGUACAAUUCCAUCAUCAGUAAAACAGAUAUACCCUCCUCUGCUCAGUCUGCAAGAGAAGCAUUAGCUAAACCAGUGUGGUCAUAUAUAAAACCACCGAUGGAUAUUUGCUACUCCUAUAUGUUGCCGCUAUAGUAUGUAGUAUCUGUCUAUUUCACCAUCCACAAAGAUAAGUUAAUCUUAUUUAGACGUCAUGCUUAUCUCCUUAGUAUGUAGUGACCAUUGUAACAGGUAUAAGAAUAAAGUCUACUUAAUUUGACAUAUAAAUCCAACAUGUGUUUCCAACGCUAGUACUUCAUUAAGGUCCAAUAAUAGUUUUCGUUCCUAGUUUUUCAGAGUAAUUGGAAUGGUUAUUUG